AGAGUUUGAUCCUGGCUCAGAUUGAACGCUGGCGGCAGGCCUAACACAUGCAAGUCGAGCGGUUGACGGGAGCUUGCUCCCUGAUUCAGCGGCGGACGGGUGAGUAAUGCCUAGGAAUCUGCCUAUUAGUGGGGGACAACGUUUCGAAAGGAACGCUAAUACCGCAUACGUCCUACGGGAGAAAGCAGGGGACCUUCGGGCCUUGCGCUAAUAGAUGAGCCUAGGUCGGAUUAGCUAGUUGGUGGGGUAAAGGCUCACCAAGGCGACGAUCCGUAACUGGUCUGAGAGGAUGAUCAGUCACACUGGAACUGAGACACGGUCCAGACUCCUACGGGAGGCAGCAGUGGGGAAUAUUGGACAAUGGGCGAAAGCCUGAUCCAGCCAUGCCGCGUGUGUGAAGAAGGUCUUCGGAUUGUAAAGCACUUUAAGUUGGGAGGAAGGGCAGUAAAUUAAUACUUUGCUGUUUUGACGUUACCGACAGAAUAAGCACCGGCUAAACUCUGUGCCAGCAGCCGCGGUAAUACAGAGGGUGCAAGCGUUAAUCGGAAUUACUGGGCGUA
rnacentral:rRNA from 1 species